rnacentral:rRNA from 1 species
CUUAGUGGCGAACGGGUGAGUAACGCGUGAGUAACCUGCCCUGGAGUGGGGGACAACAGUUGGAAACGACUGCUAAUACCGCAUAAGCCCACGAUCCGGCAUCGGAUUGAGGGAAAAGGAUUUAUUCGCUUCAGGAUGGACUCGCGUCCAAUUAGCUAGUUGGUGAGGUAACGGCCCACCAAGGCGGCGAUCAGUAGCCGACCUGAGAGGGUGACCGGCCACAUUGGGACUGAGACACGGCCCAAACUCCUACGGGAGGCAGCAUG